rnacentral:rRNA from 1 species
GAUGAACGCUUUCGCCUUUCCUAAUACCUUCAAGUCGAACUCUGGAGAUCUAGCUUGCUAGAUCGAAGGAGUGGCGAACGGGUGAGUAAUACAUAAGCAACCUACCCACGAAGACUGGGAUAAUCUCUGGAAACGGGGACUAAUACCGGAUAGGUAAUCGGAAGGCAUCUUCUGGUUAUUAAAGGUUAAAAACACUGGUGGAUGGGCUUAUGGCGCAUUAGUUAGUUGGUGAGGUAACGGCCCACCAAGACGAUGAUGCGUAGCCGGCCUGAGAGGGUGAACGGCCACAUUGGGACUGAGACACGGCCCAGACUCCUACGGGAGGCAGCAGUAGGGAAUUUUCGGCAAUGGGGGCAACCCUGACCGAGCAACGCCGCGUGAGUGAAGACGGCCUUCGGGUUGUAAAGAUCUGUUGUAAGGGAAGAACGGUAGAUAGAGAAUAUCUAAGUGACGGUACCUUACCAGAAAGCCAAGGCUAAAUACGUG